AGCUCCUUUAUUUAUCCGGGCUCCCGGGUGCGUCGCCGCAGGGAAACUGAGGCACGGCCGCCAUGGCACUGGGGACAACGGGGACCCGCAGCGGCAGCAGCCACCCCCCGAGGGUGGCACUGGGGACAAUGGGGACCCCCAGCUCGCCAUGGCCACCGCCCCCCGAGGGUGGCAUCGGCGACAACGGGGACCCCCAGCGCCCCGUGGCGCUGUCACUCGCUGUCCCCAGCCCGCCGGGUUCUUGUGGCACCUGCACGGCCCGGCCUGGCAGCUCCCUGAGCAGGACAGUGCCACUCGCCACUGUCCCCGCUGUCCUGUCCCUGCUGUUCCCACUGUCCUGUCCCCUGUCCCAUGUCUCGUGUCCCGCUGUCCCACCGUACUGUCCCAUGUCCCCUCUGUCCCUGCUAUCCCCACUGUCCUGUCCCUGCUGUCCCCUCUGUCCCACUGUCCUGUCCCCUGUGUCCUGCUGUCCCCGCUGUCCUGUCCUCAUUGUCCUGUCCCCUCUGUCCCCUGUUCUGUCCCCCUGUCCGGUCCCGUGUCCCGUCCCUGUCCCGUCCCUGCACUGUCCGUGCCCCGUCCGUGUCCGGUCCCGUCCCUGUCCGGUCCUUGUCCUGUCCCUGUUCCGUCCCUAUUUGGCCCCCUGUCCGGUCUCUGUCCUGUCCCGUGUCCCGUCUCUGUCCCGUCCGUGUCCCGUGUCCGGUCCCCUGUCCCGUGUCUGGUCCCUGGUCCUGCUAUCCGGUCCCAUAUCCGGUCUCUGUCCCGUGUCCGGUCCCUGUCCGGUCCCGGUCCCGUCUCCGUCCCGUCCGUGUCCCGUGUCCGGUCCCGUGUCCGGUCCCUGUCCCUGCUGUCCGGUCCCGUGUCCGCUCCCGUGUCCGGUCCCGGUCCCGUGUCCGCUCCCGUGUCCGGUCCCGGUCCCGUGUGCGGUCCCGUGUCCGGUCCCGUGCGGCUCAGCCCACGGUGACGCUGAAGCCGCAGUGGAACCGGUUCCUGCGGUGGUUCAGGAAGGCGCCCAGGGCCAGCGUCACGGGCAGGGGGGGCAGCUUCUUCUCCAGGACCCCUCCCACGCUCCAGCUGCUGUCCAGGAGCCCUGCGGGGACAGCGGGGACCCCUGAGCCGCCGCCGCCGGGCGCGGGGGACAGAGGCCACCGGGGCGGGGCCGGCCCACCUCGGAACACGGCGUUGGCCCGCGGCAGGUUGAGCCGGUAGCCGAAGGCGAACGCGGUCUCCUGCAGGCGCGUGUUGGCCUCCAGCUCCACCCCCGCCUGCACCUGCGGGGACGCAGCGGUCACGGCGGCGCGGGGACAGCGAGGGGACAGAGAGGGGACAACGGGGACAGCGGGGGGAGAGCGUGGGGACAGUGUGGGGAGAGCGGGGACAGAGAGGGGACAACGGGGGGAGAGCGUGGGGACAGUGUGGGGACAGCGGGGACAGAGAGGGGAGAGCGUGGGGACAGUGAGGACAGCG
rnacentral:lncRNA from 1 species